UAGAAACAUCGCUUCACGUACGAUCACCGAAGUUAAGCAACAUCCGGCCUGGUCAGUACCUAGAUGGAUGACCGCUUGGGAAUUCCAGGUGCUGUAAG
rnacentral:rRNA from 1 species